AAUAGGGCUAUGUCUAAAGUCCCAAGUUAGCUCUAUAGAAAGUAUUUGAGACCUGAAGGAGCUGGAAUUAGAUCUGGGAUUAGAGGAGCUCCUGCUUUCCAGGCCCAGAUGUGAAAGGCUCUGUGUGCAGGAUGCAAUUUUCAAUGCUUACAGCCAGUGCAGCUGUGGAAGAAUGAGCAGAGGAUGUUUUUUCUGCCUCAUGGAUCAUCAACAAACUUGUCAACUACUAUAAAUUCCAGUGGCAGAAACUUCAAUACUGGUGAAGAUGUACAAGGCUGAAGGGACACAGCACAAGUUGCAGAUCCAUCUCCAGUAGAAUUUGCUGGACUGGUGAGCUAAGGGGAAAAAAAGACUGACUUUCAAUUGAGAGGGAAAAUGUGGAACCCCACAGAAGAAGGGGAGAUGAGGAAAGCAGACUUAUUGUACCAACAUGAACUGAUGAAAAUCAUGCUUUCUCACUGAGUGGCUUCUCAUUCUGGCCUCAAUAAUGCAGGAUGGAUCAUUAGUAUUUCAGAAUUUAAAAACCCUUUGGUGAAGAAGAAAAACCUUAUUUACUCCAAAC